UGUUAUCUUUUCCAACCCAUGUUUUGAAGAUUUUUGUCUUCAAAUGUUUUUCAAAGCAAUCCUUGAUUUUGUUGUUUUAAAAUUAAUCCAAAGCCCAGUUCCUCCAUCCCCAUUACAACUUUCACAUGCUAGGACUCUGAAAUCACUAGUUAAGGUGUCGUUUGAGGUCUCUGCCAGUUUUAAGAUUUUAUGGCUGGGAACCGCAAGACCUGGGCUGUAGCUCUGCUUUUUGUAAUUCAUUGUGACUUUGUGCAACACUUUUAAAAAAGUGGGUCCUUGUCUGUAAUAGAACUAUGGGAAAUAGUACUUGACAUGCUGUACGUUUACAUUUAUGAUCUUAGGUGGUGGUAUCAGCUCCCCUUUUAGCACUCAUAUUAGUGUAUGCAAUAAGUGCCAAAGGAGUUUGUUUCGUUUUGUUUUUAAUGGGGACUUUAUUUUGUGAGCUAAAGUGAACAAGAAACUAGAGGGGGGGAAACUUGAGCUUAAGCCAUGGGUAGGAUUUGGGGAGGACUUCUUGAGGUUAGAAGAUAUAUUGAGAAAGGAGAGAGCAGGCCCCAGAGCUAGAUCGAGUACAGUUCAGGGGAAGAGUGUGGUUAUGCUGCAGGGGAUGUGGUAGGAUUAAAUGAUAUCUAAUAAUGAUGAAGUAGGCUGAGGUGGGAAGAAAGCAUUAGCAAAUAAACCAGGAUAUUGUUGGAUAUCAGAGUUAAGAGGUACUGUGAGCCUCAAUUAGAGGUUGGUAGUAGAGGCUGGUGGGCCAGUGUGUUUUAGAAGAAAUAAGAAGCCUUAUAGCACUAUGAGCCCUUCUGACAUUUUCUUCAUAUGUUCAUCGGAAACUUCUUG
rnacentral:lncRNA from 10 species